rnacentral:rRNA from 1 species
AGAGUUUGAUCCUGGCUCAGGACGAACGCUGGCGGCGUGCCUAAUACAUGCAAGUAGAACGCUGAAGAGAGGAGCUUGCUCUUCUUGGAUGAGUUGCGAACGGGUGAGUAACGCGUAGGUAACCUGCCUUGUAGCGGGGGAUAACUAUUGGAAACGAUAGCUAAUACCGCAUAACAAUGGAUGACACAUGUCAUUUAUUUGAAAGGGGCAAUUGCUCCACUACAAGAUGGACCUGCGUUGUAUUAGCUAGUAGGUGAGGUAACGGCUCACCUAGGCGACGAUACAUAGCCGACCUGAGAGGGUGAUCGGCCACACUGGGACUGAGACACGGCCCAGACUCCUACGGGAGGCAGCAGUAGGGAAUCUUCGGCAAUGGGGGCAACCCUGACCGAGCAACGCCGCGUGAGUGAAGAAGGUUUUCGGAUCGUAAAGCUCUGUUGUAAGUCAAGAACGAGUGUGAGAGUGGAAAGUUCACACUGUGACGGUAGCUUACCAGAAAGGGACGGCUAACUACGUGCCAGCAGCCGCGGUAAUACGUAGGUCCCGAGCGUUGUCCGGAUUUAUUGGGCGUAAAGCGAGCGCAGGCGGUUUGAUAAGUCUGAAGUUAAAGGCUGUGGCUCAACCAUAGUUCGCUUUGGAAACUGUCAAACUUGAGUGCAGAAGGGGAGAGUGGAAUUCCAUGUGUAGCGGUGAAAUGCGUAGAUAUAUGGAGGAACACCGGUGGCGAAAGCGGCUCUCUGGUCUGUAACUGACGCUGAGGCUCGAAAGCGUGGGGAGCGAACAGGAUUAGAUACCCUGGUAGUCCACGCCGUAAACGAUGAGUGCUAGGUGUUGGAUCCUUUCCGGGAUUCAGUGCCGCAGCUAACGCAUUAAGCACUCCGCCUG